rnacentral:rRNA from 1 species
AUACGUAGGGGGCGAGCGUUGUCCGGAAUUAUUGGGCGUAAAGCGCGCGCAGGCGGCCGGUUAAGUCAGAUGUGAAAGGCUGCGGCUCAACCGCAGAGCGGCAUCUGAAACUGGCCGGCUUGAGUGCAGGAGAGGGGAGCGGAAUUCCCGGUGUAGCGGUGGAAUGCGUAGAGAUCGGGAGGAACACCAGUGGCGAAGGCGGCUCUCUGGCCUGUAACUGACGCUGAGGCGCGAAAGCGUGGGGAGCGAACAGGAUUAGAUACCCUGGUAGUCCACGCCGUAAACGAUGAGUGCUAGGUGUUGGGGGCAUCACGCCCUCUGUGCCGAAGGAAACCCAAUAAGCACUCCGCCUGGGGAGUACGGCCGCAAGGCUGAA